AACGAACGCUGGCGGCAUGCCUAACACAUGCAAGUCGAACGAGACAUUUGGGUUUAGUGGCGCAUGGGUGGGUAACGCGUGGGAACCUGCCCUUAGGUUCGGAAUAACUUCGCGAAAGGGGUGCUAAUACCGGACAAUGUCUUCGGCCCAAAGAUUUAUCGACUUUGGAUGGGUCAGUGUUGUAUUAGCUAGUUGGUAGGGUAAAAGUCUACCAAGGUGGCGAUGCAUAGCUGGUCUUAGAGGAUGAUCAGACACACUGCGACUGAGACACGGCCCAGACUCCUACGAGUGGCAGCAGGUGGGAAUGUUCGACAAUGGGCGAAAGCCGGAGGCAGUAGUGCCGCAAAAGUGAGGAAGUCCUGAAGGUUGUAAAGCUCUGUUAACCGGGAUUAUAAUGACGGUACCGGGAGAGAAAGCUCCGGCUAACUCCGUG
rnacentral:rRNA from 1 species